rnacentral:lncRNA from 1 species
GACUUGAGCAGACUAGAUCUCGACACUCAGUCACCAUCUGAGAAGUGAGAAUCACUUCCGCAGCCACCGCGACUCCCUCAGUCCCUCACCAUGAUUCCCUCUGUCCCUCAUCGCAACAACAUGGCUACUCUCUGAGGCUCAAACUCUCAGUCUCGCCGCGACUCCAUGGCUCCACGCGGCCACGCCUCCUGUUUCUUGAGCUCAAGAUGGUGGUAGUGUUGGCGAGGAUGAGCCUCCUACUGAAUUCCAAACCUCAAAAUAUAUAUAUAUAUAAAUUAUC